ACUCAAUCUAAUAGUUAGCAUUACUAGUGAGACAGUUCAGGAUGUGUCAAAAUAUUCAUCAUAAUAUGAAGAUCACUGAUGGUCUAGUUUGACGACUUGAUAGGCAGCAAGAGAGAACCAGAUGAAGAUCGAUCUCUGAGAUAGGCAGCAAGAGAGAACCAGAUGAAGAUCGAUCUCUGAGAUGGGCAGCAAGAGAGAACCAGAUGAAGAUCGAUCUCAGAACUGAGCUAGUUGUUGAAGCCAAUGCUGAUUGAUACUGUUUGAUGUUUGAAAUGAAAUGUGCUGUUCCUUUUAUACCAGUUGAUUUAGCACAGAGUGAAUGGGGGGAUAGAUUAUUAUUGAUCACCACAUUCAAAGUUCAUACUUUUUCUGUGUGAUUGAAUUAACAAGGUCAAGUAGUUGAUUAUUCUGGGGAAAACACUUGCAUUGAUUAAUUAACUUUUUAAUAAUGUCAGCCAAUUAAAAGUAACAAACAACUCCAUUUGCAUCAUUCCUGUUUUUUUUACUCAUUUAUGUGCCUUUCAAGGAAAUUAACAAGGACAAGUAGUUGAUUAUUCUGGGAAAACAUGAUCUAGUUGCAUAAUUCAUCUGAUAAAUUCAUCCAAUUAAGGAAAAGCUUUAGCAUGUGUAUAGGAUAUAGUUAUCAAUCCAAUUAAAUAAUAACUAAAAUGCUUAUACAGUUCUGAUAACUAGUUUUUUAUUAGUAACAACCUCCAGACACCCUUUCCACUAUCAGUGCAAGCUUUUUCCCCACCACUUACAGAUCAUUGCUGUUCUCACACUCAACCCAUCAGUAUCAACAUCAUUCUGACUUCAACACUUCGAACAAUCAACAGCUCCAACCUGAUAUUCAAUUUCUAUGAUUUCAUUCUUCUGAUCCACAUUCUCUUGAUCCAUAUUCUUCCCAUCCACAUUCUCAACCAAAGACAUUGUUGAUUCAAUAAAUCAUUAUGACUUCAACUUCCAAGUCACAAAAAUGUUACACCAUAUUUGUUGAAGGCAACAUAGGGUGUGGGAAAUCAACACUUCUGAACCAUCUUUCAAAGGAGGAGGAUAUCGAAAUUUGUGGAGAGCCAGUGAAUAUGUGGAAAAACUUUCACGGUCACAAUGUUCUCGAAUGUUUUUAUAAGACCCCAAAAAAGUGGAGUUUCAUAUUUCAAAUGCUGGUUCAACUUACUUCAAUAAAUUCUCAUAUGAAGUCCUCCGAAAAACCAAAAAAAAAUAUAGAAAGAUCAAUUUACUCAGCAAGAUAUAUUUUUGCUGAACAUUUGCACAAACAGUCUCAUAUGUCAGAUCUAGAAUAUAAAUUGUUGGAUGAUUGGUUCAAAUGGUUGAUAACUAAUAUUGAAAUCAAAGCUGACUUAAUUUUAUAUAUAAGAACAAAUCCAGAAACUAUUUUGGAACAGGUCAAAUUGCAAGGGAGGGAAGAAGAAAAAUACAUUACACUCUCCUAUCUUCAAUCAAUCCAUCAACUAUAUGAAGAUUGGUUGAUAAAUAGAAGUAAAUCUUCUUUAGUUCCGAUCCUUGUAAUCAAUGGCAAUCAAUCAGAAGAAAAAGUUAUUGAUGAGAUCAAGAGGAAACUACCAAAAUUAUUUGUAUAAUUGAUAAAAAAAAGUUUUUGAUGUAUAAGAAAUAAAAAAAUUUUUG